UACGAAGGGGGCUAGCGUUGUUCGGAAUUACUGGGCGUAAAGCGCAUGUAGGCGGAUAUUUAAGUCAGAGGUGAAAUCCCGGAGCUUAACUUCGGAACUGCCUUUGAUACUGGAUGUCUUGAGUGUGAGAGAGGUAUGUGGAACUCCGAGUGUAGAGGUGAAAUUCGUAGAUAUUCGGAAGAACACCAGUGGCGAAGGCGACAUACUGGCUCAUUACUGACGCUGAGGCUCGAAAGCGUGGGGAGCAAACAGG
rnacentral:rRNA from 1 species